rnacentral:rRNA from 1 species
GCCRGAGUAAUGUGAAUUGCAGAAUUCAGUGAAUCAUCGAAUCUUUGAACGCACAUUGCGCCCCUUGGUAUUCCGGGGGGCAUGCCUGUUCGAGCGUCAUUGCAACCCUCAAGCUUUGCUUGGUAUUGGGCGUUCGCUCCCCCGCUCCGGGGGCUGCGCGCCUGUAAAAUAGUGGCGGCCCCGGGGGGACCUCAAGCGUAGUAGAACCUUUUCGCUUGGGCGGUGCCACCCGGGGCCCGGCCGUCAACCUCUCCAUCGAUCAAUGAUUGACCUCGGAUCAGGCAGGGAUACCCGCUGAACUUAAGCAUAUCAAUAA